CAAGCAGAGAUUGAAGGUUGAGAAAGAAGAGGAUGAAGUGGUGAAAACGGAAAUGGACAAUGUUGGUGACAGUGCAGCUCCUUCUAAUGAUGGUAGCUGCAUAUAAAAUUUCGGAUGAAAGUUUACAUGGUCACACAGAAGACAUUUAUACCAAUAUUGGUAUUUGAAAGAUUCCACUCUAGCCAAAAUAUGAGUCCUAGGCUAUAGAAUUUUGGCCAGAUGGGAGACUGAAAAUCCAUUGCGUCUUAGCUGUCUUUAAGAAUGUGCAAGACGGAUUCAGGUCCACCUUAACAUCGUGGACAACUACUAUCAUCUGUCAUAGUGCAUUUGUGUUGUUCUUCAUUUGUCAAAAGUUUAUAUCACUACCAUUAGUAAGAAAGCUAAAUGAAUAUUUAGAAGUUCUUUGAUGCAUGAUAGAUAUCAACAAGUACGAUACCAUUUGUGAAAGUUCAGAGCUUUCCAAGUUUCUGCUGUAACUAAGUCUUUUGUUGUUUAUAUAAAAGAGAAAUCUUUUAUGGUUUAAUCUUGUAUCAAUUUUAUAAUAUUUAUAUUUUGAAUUUAUCUAUGUUUUAGAGGUUAA